rnacentral:rRNA from 1 species
AGAGUUCGAUCCUGGCUCAGGAUGAACGCUGGCGGCGCGCCUAACACAUGCAAGUCGAACGGCACCUAUCUUCGGAUAGAAGCGAGUGGCGAACGGCUGAGUAACACGUGGAGAACCUGCCCCCUCCCCCGGGAUAGCCGCCCGAAAGGACGGGUAAUACCGGAUACCCCGGGGUGCCGCAUGGCACCCCGGCUAAAGCCCCGACGGGAGGGGAUGGCUCCGCGGCCCAUCAGGUAGACGGCGGGGUGACGGCCCACCGUGCCGACAACGGGUAGCCGGGUUGAGAGACCGACCGGCCAGAUUGGGACUGAGACACGGCCCAGACUCCUACGGGAGGCAGCAGUGGGGAAUCUUGCGCAAUGGGGGGAACCCUGACGCAGCGACGCCGCGUGCGGGACGGAGGCCUUCGGGUCGUAAACCGCUUUCAGCAGGGAAGAGUCAAGACUGUACCUGCAGAAGAAGCCCCGGCUAACUACGUGCCAGCAGCCGCGGUAAUACGUAGGGGGCGAGCGUUAUCCGGAUUCAUUGGGCGUAAAGCGCGCGUAGGCGGCCCGGCAGGCCGGGGGUCGAAGCGGGGGGCUCAACCCCCCGAAGCCCCCGGAACCUCCGCGGCUUGGGUCCGGUAGGGGAGGGUGGAACACCCGGUGUAGCGGUGGAAUGCGCAGAUAUCGGGUGGAACACCGGUGGCGAAGGCGGCCCUCUGGGCCGAGACCGACGCUGAGGCGCGAAAGCUGGGGGAGCGAACAGGAUUAGAUACCCUGGUAGUCCCAGCCGUAAACGAUGGACGCUAGGUGUGGGGGGACGAUCCCCCCGUGCCGCAGCCAACGCAUUAAGC